rfam:Gossypium raimondii Chr06_contig_1311, whole genome shotgun sequence.
UGUUAGAAAAUUUAUUUUCAUCCAUUUGUAUUGUUAAAAACUGGAGUAGUUGACGGAAUAAUUAGACAGUGACAAGUGGCAUGCCAUGCGUACCUCAUAUUGACGUACAUGGACCAAUUUUUAACAACAAAAAUGGAUGAAAUUUUUAACA